rnacentral:rRNA from 1 species
AGUCGAGCGAACAGAUAAGGAGCUUGCUCCUUUGACGUUAGCGGCGGACGGGUGAGUAACACGUGGGUAACCUACCUAUAAGACUGGGAUAACUUCGGGAAACCGGAGCUAAUACCGGAUAACAUUUGGAACCGCAUGGUUCUAAAGUGAAAGAUGGUUUUGCUAUCACUUAUAGAUGGACCCGCGCCGUAUUAGCUAGUUGGUAAGGUAACGGCUUACCAAGGCAACGAUACGUAGCCGACCUGAGAGGGUGAUCGGCCACACUGGAACUGAGACACGGUCCAGACUCCUACGGGAGGCAGCAGUAGGGAAUCUUCCGCAAUGGGCGAAAGCCUGACGGAGCAACGCCGCGUGAGUGAUGAAGGGUUUCGGCUCGUAAAACUCUGUUAUUAGGGAAGAACAAACGUGUAAGUAACUGUGCACGUCUUGACGGUACCUAAUCAGAAAGCCACGGCUAACUACGUGCCAGCAGCCGCGGUAAUACGUAGGUGGCAAGCGUUAUCCGGAAUUAUUGGGCGUAAAGCGCGCGUAGGCGGUUUCUUAAGUCUGAUGUGAAAGCCCACGGCUCAACCGUGGAGGGUCAUUGGAAACUGGGAAACUUGAGUGCAGAAGAGGAAAGUGGAAUUCCAUGUGUAGCGGUGAAAUGCGCAGAGAUAUGGAGGAACACCAGUGGCGAAGGCGACUUUCUGGUCUGUAACUGACGCUGAUGUGCGAAAGCGUGGGGAUCAAACAGGAUUAGAUACCCUGGUAGUCCACGCCGUAAACGAUGAGUGCUAAGUGUUAGGGGGUUUCCGCCCCUUAGUGCUGCAGCUAACGCAUUAAGCACUCCGCCUGGGGAGUACGACCGCAAGGUUGAAACUCAAAGGAAUUGACGGGGACCCGCACAAGCGGUGGAGCAUGUGGUUUAAUUCGAAGCAACGCGAAGAACCUUACCAAAUCUUGACAUCCUUUGAAAACUCUAGAGAUAGAGCCUUCCCCUUCGGGGGACAAAGUGACAGGUGGUGCAUGGUUGUCGUCAGCUCGUGUCGUGAGAUGUUGGGUUAAGUCCCGCAACGAGCGCAACCCUUAAGCUUAGUUGCCAUCAUUAAGUUGGGCACUCUAGGUUGACUGCCGGUGACAAACCGGAGGAAGGUGGGGAUGACGUCAAAUCAUCAUGCCCCUUAUGAUUUGGGCUACACACGUGCUACAAUGGACAAUACAAAGGGCAGCUAAACCGCGAGGUCAUGCAAAUCCCAUAAAGUUGUUCUCAGUUCGGAUUGUAGUCUGCAACUCGACUACAUGAAGCUGGAAUCGCUAGUAAUCGUAGAUCAGCAUGCUACGGUGAAUACGUUCCCGGGUCUUGUACACACCGCCCGUCACACCACGAGAGUUUGUAACACCCGAAGCCGGUGGAGUAACCAUU